GCACGCUCAUUCUUCAGGGUCAGAGAGAUCCUGGACAGCUGAGCACAAACAUCUGGCGUGACAAGACAGACAGCAGGCUUUAGAGCUAAAAAACACUUUCCUCAAUAGAAAAAUAUAUAUCAUAAAAAUCCUUGAGGGUCAGAAAGCUCUUGGAUUUCGUCAAAAAUAUCUUCAUUUGAGUUCUGAGUGUCUUACGGGUUUUGGAAGGACAUGAGGGUGAGUCAUUUAUGACCAUUUUCAUUUUUAGGUGAGCUAUCCCAAUAAAACUGUACAGGUAAGUAUUUGUUAUAUCUGAGUCCCAUUUAAGAAGAAGUGUUUUCAGUUCAGUCCCGGUCUCCCUCAUCUAACUCCUCCGCUCAUUACAGACUUUAAGAGCUGAAGAGUGAUGGAAACUAUGAUGUGUGUCAGGUCCAGCAGCAGCAGUCAUAAAUGUGCAUGCACUUUACUUUAGAUCCAGAAUUAUCAUUGUGAUAGAAAACGUGUUUACCCCCGUCAGUGGCCCCUUCAGUCAUCAUUCUCCUCAGAUGAAGGAACUGUUCCUGUAGAAGCAGCAGGAAUGAUCAUCACAGUGAGAGAAAUGAUGAUGAAGCACCUUCUUUCUGUCUGUACGUCUCUCUCUGACAGGAUCCUGUAUAUGACGUGUACAGGGCGGCGGGAAUCUUAUCUGCCCUACAACACAAACAAACAUUUAACAAACAUUUCCAAAACCGUUCUGUUAAAGUGCAUUAAGAGAAAGUGUAAUAAAGUGAAGCCUACUUUCUCAAGGCCUCGAUGAACAUCAUUCUGGCGUCUGACUUCACAGGAAGCUGCGAUGAAAAAUAACAUAACCAUUAAAACCAGUUCAACAUUUCACCUUGCAUCACACAGGCCCUACAUAACCUCCUGCAUAAUCUCAACUCCUCGCUCGGUUGACAUCCUUCCUGAAUAAAAAGGUGUGACGUUUGCCACGAAUGGUAACCCAAACUCUGAACAGAGCUGCCCACAGGGGGGUGGACAGCUACACACACAUCCUCCAUCUAAAUCUGGACCGAGUCGACUCAAAGAUGAGGAUGAUACUCACCACACGUGGAGAGAGGAGAGCAGGGAGGAACCGAGACAGGAAAUACGGCCUCCGAAAAAUACUGAAGACGGAGAAAACCACCCUCACUAUACAGUUUCAGUAGCUGUGUGGGUGUGAGUGUGUGUGAGUGUGUGCGCGUGUGUGUGUGAGAGUGUGUGUGUGUGUGUGUGUGAGUGUGUGUGUGUGUGUGUGUAUGUGUGAGUGUGUGUGUGUGUGUGUGUGUGUGUGAGAGAGUGAGUGUGUGUGUGUGUGUGUGUGUGUGUGUGUGAGUGAGAGAGUGUGUGU